AUGAACGUUGGCGGCGUGGAUUAGGCAUGCAAGUCGAGCGAGAACUGUAGCAAUACAGGGAAAGCGGCGAAAGGGAGAGUAAUACGUAGGUACCUGCCCUCGGGUCUGGGAUAGCUGCGGGAAACUGCAAUUAAUACCGGAUGACGUCUCUGGACCAAAGGUGUGAUUCCGCCAGGGGAUGGGCCUGCGUCCUAUUAGCUAGUUGGCGGGGUAAUGGCCCACCAAGGCAAAGAUGGGUACGGGGUGUGAGAGCAUGCCCCCGCUCACUGGGACUGAGACACUGCCCAGACACCUACGGGUGGCUGCAGUCGAGGAUCUUCCGCAAUGGGCGCAAGCCUGACGGAGCGACGCCGCGUGCGGGAUGAAGGCCUUCGGGUUGUAAACCGCUGUCAGUGGGGAGCAAAUGCAUCAGGGUUCUCCCUGGUGUUUGAGCGAUCCGCAGGGGAAGCACAGGCUAAUUCCGU
rnacentral:rRNA from 1 species